CGCAACCACAACAGCAGCAGGCGCAACCACAACAACAGCAGGCGCAACAACCACAGCAGGCGCAACCACAACAGCAGCAGGCACAACCACAACAGCAGCAGGCGCAACAACAACAGCAGCAGGCGCAACAACAACAGCAGCAGGCGCAAUCACAACAGCAGCAGGCGCAACCACAACAGCAGCAGGCGCAACCACAACAGGAGCAGGCGCAACAACAGCAGCAGGCGCAACAACAACAGCAGCAGACGCAAUCACAACAGCAGCAGGCGCAACAACAACAGCAGCAGACGCAAUCACAACAGCAGCAGGCGCAACCACAACAGCAGCAGGCGCCACCACAACAGCAGAAGGCGCAACAACCACAGCAGGCGCAACAACAACAGCAGCAGGCGCAACCACAACAGCAGCAGGCGCAACAACCACAGCAG
ensembl:lncRNA